UUCUGGAUAUGACACAUCCUAUGAUAUUUCUUUUCUGCUCUGAAAAUGCUGGUCAUGACCCACUAAGUUAACUUCAUGAUCCAAUAAUGGGCUGAAAAACCACUGUAUGACAACACGGCCUCCACUCACCCUGCUGUCUCAUUCACUGCUCUGGACAGCUAUAUCUGUGGCUGCGUGGCAAUCUCUGAGGACAUGCACUUACCAGGCUGUCUGAUCACCUUGGCCUCAGCAGACAAGGCUGAAUCAAGAACUACCUACUACAUUCUCCAGGGAGAAGCAAGGUUCCCCUAUGAUCGGAGCUGUCUGCUUACUCAGGUCCAUUAAGGAUCAAACGGAAAAACAAGCAAUGGCUGACAGCGAGUGGAAGAGGUUGAUUGGAAGGAGUUACUGUGACUUUGAGUUAAGCUCUACUCAAGGAGGGUCAGAGACUGGUCUGAAGAGGAUGCUCCUUUCAUUGGUUCCCUGGUGUCUGAAGGCUAGAGCUGACCUCCGUUAGUGAAGGGCUGCAGGCUUCUCUGUGAGUCCCAUCACAUACCUGGCAGCUGCCAGCGUUUAUGAGGUGCCUUCCCUUUCUGCCUCCCUUCCUACUGUCUAAAUGUCCUCCCUCCCUCUCCCUGUGCUGAGGAUAUGCAUGUGGUAUAAGAGUAGGCUGGGAACCUGCGGGAUGUGGAUGUGAGGGAAGGGUAUUUAAGGGAAGCACUUCAAGAGCAUUGUCUAAGAAGUGGAUUGUUCUGGAGUCCAGUGUGACUGAGGUGCUGCCUGACUAUAACCCCCCACUUUCCUCAUGUGUAUAACACAACACAAGCCAAUCUCACCAGGCUGUGUGAAUGAUACCCAUGGAGUGGGUCUAGUCCCAUAUCUGCGCUCCUCAUAGCUUCUGCCCCGUGCUUCCUUGGCCCAAGUUGCUGGCAUACCAUCUGGCAUUCCUGGGUGAGCCAAAAGUUAUUUACCAGUGACAGCUCUGUUCAUCUGGCCAUCACCACCCGUGGACCCAAACCCCAGGGAUGGCUGAUACUGAGCCCACACUGCUGCCA
rnacentral:lncRNA from 1 species